rnacentral:rRNA from 1 species
UACGGGGGGGGUAAGCGUUGUUCGGAAUUACUGGGCGUAAAGGGCUCGUAGGCGGCCAACUAAGUCAGACGUGAAAUCCCUCAGCUUAACUGGGGAACUGCGUCUGAUACUGGAUGGCUUGGAUCCGGAAGAGGGAUGCGGAAUUCCUAGUGUAGAGGUGAAAUUCGUAGAUAUUAGGAAGAACACCGGUGGCGAAGGCGGCCCACUGGAUCGGUACUGACGCUGAGGUGCGAAAGCGUGGGGAGCAAACAGG